CCCGCUCGCGCCUCUCCCUCCAUACCUCCCUGCAAGCUGAGGGAGUGGGCUCCGGCCUUGGCCAGCUCAGAAAGGGGCUCCCACAGUGCAGCGGCGGGCUGAAGGGCUCCUCAAGUGCCGCCAAAGUGGGAGCCCAGGCAGAGGAGGCGCAGAGAGCUAGCGAGGGCUGUGAGGACUGCCAGCACGCUGUCACCUCUCAGUGUCCAGGAAGGAAAUAAUCUGGAGAGAAAGUGAGGCAUUUAUUGCAGGGCACCAAGCAAGGAGAAUUGUGCAGUUCAUCCUGAAGACCCAAACUCCCUGAAGUCUUACAUGAUAUUCCAGACUUGUGCUUCCCUUGCCCCAGUCUUGGAAUCACCCAUUUUGAGCAUUUCGUGGGCUUAUUGGAGAUAUCCUCAAAUUGCUCAUCAUCACUUACCUACUGCACUCUACAGUAAGUAAAUAACUCUACUGUACUGCUGGCCUCUUGUUUUUUCCCAUGGCUCUCUUAUCUGGGCAGUCCACUUAUACUCAAUGGUCUCUGUGGGAACGCAGAGUCUAGGAAGUCUUCCAAGUCAAAAGACAGUUAUGGGAAAGUUCCUUUUUUUUCCUCACAUGGCCACAUCUGAUUUUUGGGAAACACACAUUUGAACCAUCAUCUGCAGAAAUUUUGUUUAUUUUAACACAAUCCUUUAUAUGUUGCCACAUGAAAUAUCAGUCAAAUUCUCACCCUUUGUAUUUCCUAUGCAUGUAACAGUUUAUAGUUUUCCUUAUAAUGGAAGAAGACUUAUAUUAAAUUCUUCAAAUGGCCUCCUUGUAGUCUCUAAUGCCAGGCUUAAAGUGAAAAGAAAAAAGUAACCUUUUUUGCUUUCCCUAUUGAAAUAUGGAUUGCUAUUUGAGGCAAUAUUCUAUGCAAAAAUAAGAAAUCCAAAUUUCUACAUCUUUGUUGAAACAUCAGAUUUACUUACAUAGCCAGAAUAUGGGUGACGGUCAGAAAACUCAUUUUUAUCCACUUCCUAUGUGAAUGAAAUAUUGGUUGCUUAAAAUAGUCUUUAAAAUAUAAAAAUAUCCACCAUCUCUUAGGAUCUCAGCUAAAACGGAGAAAGAAUCCCAUUUUAGCAUCAUUUUGUGCAAAGAUGAAUAGGAAGUUGCUGUAUAGGAGUUCACAUUGUAAGAGAAAAUAAUAGGUGUACAAUAUUUACUGCCAGCCUGAUACUUGCUUUAAAGACACAUAAACUGUAUAAGUUGGGAUUCCCAGAGAGUGGGAAAAUAAUUGUGUCAAAAACUGUGUCUGGUUACGUAAGGUAAAUUUUAAAAGGCGGGUAAUAUUUGAGGGGUACUUGAAAGAUGGCACUUAAAAGUUUGGCCGUAAUAGAAUAGCUAAAGAAUAUCCAGUCAUAAGGAGCUGUAUGUUCAAAAGCAAAUAGUAAUGAGAGAAUAAUUUUUUGGGGACGAAGAAAAAAGGAACAAGCUUUGGUAGUGGCAGAAAAUGGGGAAUAACAAUUAUUUUGGUUAAGUAUUUGGGGCAAGGUGUGAAAGGCUUUAUCCCAUAUUUUUAGAAAAUGGAAAAUUAUUAAGGAUUUUUAACUCUGGAGAUUAAUAUGAUGAGAUUUGGUUGAAAGUAAAAUAAAGUGCUCCACAAUAUGUUUUGCAUGAUGAAAUGCUUCAAGGCAGAGAAGUAGAAGAUCCUGUAGAAACUUCUCAAAAAUCAGGUUCAGUAGUUAAAUAUGUGUGAGAUAUCUAUAUUCAACUUACCACACUCAUUAGCCUAGUGAAUAUUCUGACAAUUUUUGAGAUAAAAGAAUCUAUUAAUACUGAAUUAAUUCAACAUCAAUCAAAUGUGUUAGCAGAUAUAAUUUUAAGAACUAUUAAUAUCUUACAGAGAUAUAAAAUAGUAAGAAAAUAGCUUCCAGAUAGCCUGGUGUUGAUGACAUUUAUGAGAGUCAUCGACAUUUAUGAGAGUCAUCAACGUUUAUGACAGAGGCUAUUUAGAAAGUGAUUGCAACUGUUUCCAUGAAAGAUUUUGAGAGUCUUUACUACAACAGUGACAGCUGGGAUAAUGCAGAAUACCAAUGUAGAAGAUUUACUUUAUGAGAGACAUUGAGAGAUUGUGCAAAAAGGAGUAAAGUUUCACUCUGAGAGCUCCACCUUUCAAUUGCUUGUGGAUGUAAAACUAUUCACAGAAAAUAAGCAGGCACGCAAAAGUUAUGUUUAACUUUCAUUAAACCAUCUAUUUGGUCAUCUUCUCAGAAGUAUUAUGCAUUGCAUCAGAUAGUGUUUUAUUGCCUUCCUGAAUGUGGAUGCCACUUGCUAAUUCAUUUGCUAAAUGUUUGAUAAUUCAACACCCAAAGGAUUUAUCACUCUACCCCAGACUCACAGCAGACUCCUUUCUCAAUGAUGGGAAAAUACAUCUGAAUAAUAACAAUCAAAACUUAUUUAGCAAAGAAGGAAGUGUCCAGUUUUAUGAAGUAAGUAUCCUGCUUAAAUAAACAGUGAUACACUAUGAAAUGCCUUAACUAUAUCUUGUAUUUUCUUUCUGAUAAUGUCUGCAACUUGGAAGGAUUUAUGCUUAAAAAAAACAGCUAUGUUUAUAGUUUGAGAAAACUUUCUAUUUCUUGUUGAAAAACUAUAUUAUGAUUUUCAUUCCCAGCCAUAGUGCUGACUAUACACCCUGGGGGAGGGGGGAAAACCAUUGACACGGAAUACAUAGAAAUGCUGUUUCUAAAUGCGUAGCUGACAUUGCAAGAUAUUGAGGGAAAUCCCCAGAAAUAUAAAAUGGAAAAGAAGCUGAAAAACACAGCUAAAGUGAGGCCUAAGACCAUGGGUAUCUUGAGGGCAUUUACUAAGUUUAGUAGCUGAAAUAUUGGGUUUUAAUUUUGGUAUAAGUGAAAGGAAGCAAGGCUUUGGUUGUGUCUAAGGUGGUUACUUAGAAAUAAGAGUUUUACCUAAAAGAAGAAAAUUGGAAAGGCUCAACUUUAGGAAAGUGUAAUUUUAAAAUGUCUUCCCACAGGCAACAUCAGGCAAUAAUAUAUAUCUGUAUCAGCUCACAUCCAAGGCAGAAUUUUAAAAACAGAAAAAGAAAAAUUUCGUUAGCCAUUUAUAAUGAUAUGCCUGGCCUCAUAAAGAUACUGGUUUGGGUUUACAAUUUUUGAGUAGUUAUUAAGUCAAUGAUCAAUUUAAAUUAGGAUUAGGUUAAUAUUUUAUAGCAUUCUGAAGUACGUGGCAGAGAGAAAUUCUCUCUGGAAAGAGACCUAUCUAUCUAUAGGUCUCUGUAGAUAGAUAGACCUAUCUAUCACCUCACCAAGUAUCAAAAGAUUAGAGACAAAAAUAGAUACAAUUGAAAGAAAAAUAGAUGAUUACAUAACCAUAGUGGAAAAUUAUGAAACAUCAAAUCUCAUUAAUUAUCAGAACAAAUGCAUCCAAAUUAAUAUGCAUAUUGGACGUUUUAUAAAUCAGCAAAAUUUAUCCAAAUAUUUAUGUGUAUAUAAAACAAUGCACCUUUAAAUUAGAAAGUGAAUAUUGUUAUAUGGUUCUUUGUCUAAAUAAACACAAUAAUAACAAUUUAAAAAUACUGUAAAAAGCAAGAUAAUAAGAAUAUGACAUCAAAAUCCAUGAAAAACAGCUGAAAAAGCAUUUAGCAAGAUGGUGUCUUACAUUCUAAUCACUAAAAUAUGAAAUAAAAAACAAAAAAGAGGCUCCAAACUGCCAAAGUCUGUUCUGUUGAAUGUAUCAAUAAGAUAGAAAAAAAAGACAUAGUUGAUGAGACAGAGAGAAAGGGAGUAAUUAAUGAACUAUAUUAGAAAAAAAAUGAGCAAAGAAUAACCACAGAUUAAAUUAUUAACAAUAUACUAAAAUAGUUUAGGCAAAUCAUUGUAAAAUCCUAGAGAAAUUCACAAUUUCUAGAAUAAAUAGGGCAUCAAAUAAGCAAUAAGUCAAUUGAAAAGUUGAGAAGACCCAACCAUUAAGUACAUUUUAUCAGUAUUUUAAAAUAUAUACCUCUAUAUGUCACUCAUCAAAAAUAUUUCAGAUAUAGUUAAUUUAAAAAUAAGAUUACAAAGUGGCAAUUAAUCAUCUAAUAUAUAUGAUUUACAGAGUAAUAACUAAUAAUUUUAUAUACAUAAAUAUAUAUAUAUAUAUAGAGAGAGAGAGAGUCUGAAAUCUUUUUAUAUUCUGUGAGGUCACAGAUCUCUUUGCAGAGAUGACUGUUCCUCUGCCAGGAACUUCAGAAUGUUCUAAACUAUUCACCUAAUUUAAAUUGGUCUUUGACCUAAUAACUAAUCAAAAAGCAUAUACAUGUACACCCUUACAGAUAUUACAAAAAUCAAUUAACCUUUUGAGGCUAGUAUUAACUUCAUGUAGUACAAGAUAUUAAAAGAAUAAAAAAUCUCCAACAUGCUCUAUAUAAAUGUUUAUAGAUGUAAUUCCUAAAUAAGAUGUUCACAAAUAAAAUAGACAUCUAGAAACUGUAUAAAAAUAUGCCAUAGAACAUUUCUAUUUAAACAAAAUAAUGCAACGAUAGCUUAACAUUAGAAAAUAUAGUUUAACACAUUAAAUCAAAAGAAAAUGCAUAUAAGUAUUUUAGCUAUUAUAGUUAAAAAAAUAAAAUACAGCAUCCAUUCAUGAUAAAAUGUCUUAAAAACCAUGAGUAGAAAAUAUAACUUAUUUUCCCUGAAAAUAAAAGUAUCAUAAAUUUAUAAUUAGUAUCAUAUUUAAUAAUAUGUUGGAGACAUCCUUUUAAAGUCAGGAAAAAGCAUACUUGCUUACGCCAUGUGUAUUUAACAUUAUACAAAAAGAUAUUAUACCUAGCAUGUUAAGACAAAAUGGAGUAAGCAAUGAUAAGAAUGUUAAAAAAAUGUAAAACUGACUCCAAAUAUUAUAAAUCAUAUACUAUUGAAAAUAAUAUAAUUGCCUACUCAAAUAAACUCAAAAUCUCAAAUAAACUGAAGAAAAUUAUUGAAAUUAUUUUAAAAACUAAAGAAUUGAAGACAAUUUGCUAUAUAAAAAGUUAACAUACAACAACCAGUUACAUAUUUAUAUACCAAGAAGAAGUAGCUAGAAAACAUAAUUUAAAGAAUGUAAUACCAAUAAAAUUAUGCACAUGGUUUUUAAUGGGCCACAUUUCUUUUAUAAGAAAAAUGACUGCCAUUGUAGGAAUUCUUUGUUGUUGGCAUUUCAUCUUGGCUACCCAUAAUUUUUCCUUGGGCUCCCAAUUCCCAGUCACUCACAUUCUUUGUAUUAUAGAAACAAUCUGAAUAGAGUCAUGGACUUUAAUUAGUUCAUUAGACUUUAAGUUUAAUUAGAUUUUAAUCGGUUUAAUUAGACUUUAAUUUGUUAACAGUAUGUAGCAUUUCCAUCCAACAGGAUGAAAAGUUGAACAAUCUCCUCAAAAAGCAACUAUAAAGGUGAAUGAAAGUGUCAAAACAAUUAUUUUAGCAUUCUGGAAAUUAACCAAAGAUAUGCAUGCAAAUGAAGAGAGAAGUGUUAUUCAUGAGAAUCACUGAAGCAUGGGCAGAUAUAGGGCAAUUUUAUAGUUUUCUUGAUGAAGACCAUUCCUAUGCCUCACCUGUAGCUCUACUGCUAGACAGUUCAACCUGGAUGAGACAGGCUAUGAAACCAAUAGUCUUAGCGCUGGUACCAGGGAAACUCACUUGAUUUAGAAUCUUGUCAGUUCCAGAAGUGCUCUCAUGAACAAGUAAAUAAGGAGGACCAGCAGUUCUGCUAGCCUGAACUAGAUUCUGUUUGGUGCAGGUAGCAGACUGUCAGACUAGCAGAGGAUUUUGUAGGAAAGACCAAGAAGUUAGGGAUACGAGGAAAGCUUGUUAAGUUCUUCAUGUAUCUCAGGUUGACAGGAGUUGUUGCCAUGCAAACAACGUUGUGUAGUUAGCCCAUGCCACCCCACAUUCCUGGUUGAUGAAGCCAAUAACAAACACAUACACACACACACACACACACACACACACACACGGUGAGAGAGAGAUAGAGAGAUUGAAACUGAUUGGCAGAAUCUACAAUUAAGGGGAAAAGUUGAGCUGAAAAUGGCCUGGAAUCUGAAUGUUCUUUACUACAAGCACAUAGAUCCAUCUUUAGAGAGUGGAAUCCUUACUGGCUUGAGUUGUUUGAGUGCAUACUCUGGCCAACUUUUGGCUGAACACAGAAUAUGCAGACACAGGGGCAACCUCUAGGAAUCCAGGCAUACAAAUAAGCAGAAGAAAAUAAACUGAGCAAGAUACACACACAGAGAUAUAUCAUAGUCAAGCUAGUGAAAUCCAAAGAAAAAAAGCAAUUCUUGAAAGCAGUAAGAAAAAAAAUAGCUCAUCAUAUACAGGAAAGGAAAGACAUCAUUAGUGCUUGACUUCUUAUUAGCAAAAAUGGAGGGCCAAAAGUAACGGAAAGACAUUUUAAAGAGUGGAAUAAAAGUACCUGUCAACUAGGAAUUAUAUAUUGAGAAAAUUCAUCAUUAAAAUGUGAGGGUAAAAUAAUAUUUUAUUCAGAUGAAAAACUGUGAUAACAUUUUACCAGCAAUUGUGUGUUAAAAUAAAUAGUAAAGGAUAUCUGUCAGGCUAAAAGAAAGUGACAGUAGGAAAUGAUUUUAAUUCAUAUGUUGAAAUGAGGAACAUCAGAUACAGUAAAUGUAGCAUAAGUACAAUUUGGGAGGCCAAGGCGGGUGGAUCACCUGAGGUCGGGAGUUCGAGACCAGCCUGGUCAACGUGUUGAAACCCCAUCUCUACUAAAAAUACAAAAAUUAGCCAGGCGUGGUGGCAGGCACCUGUAUUCCCAGCUACUCAGGAGGCUGAGGCAGGAGAAUUGGUUGAACCUGGGAGGCAGAAGUUGCAGUGAGCCAAGGCUGUGUCACUGCACUCCAGCCUGGGUGACAGAGCGAGACUGUCUCAAAAAAAAAAAAAAAAGAAAAAAUAUAUAACAUUUAUAUAUAUUAUAUUUUUGGUUUCUUUAACUUCUUAUAACAAUCUACAGGGCAAUAAACAUAAUACUCUUUUAUGAAAUUAUAUAGAUGUAGUGUGAAUGACAAUAAAGAAAAAAAAAGAGGAGGAAAAAGAGAAAAUAUAUUGGAGCAACAUUUCUAUAUUUUUACCAGAAUGAGGUCAGUAUUAUUCUGAAGUAGAGUAUAAUAAGUUAAGAUCUUUUUUAAACCCUUUAGCAAAAACUAAGUAAAUAGCUAGAAAAGGGAUUAAAAUGACAGAAGAAAUUAAAUGGUAGAGAAAAAGUAUAUUUGACACAAAAUAAGACAUUAGAAGAGAAAGAGAAGAACAAAAAUAUCAUAAAUAAAAUAGAAAGCAAAGAGCAAAAUGAUGGCCUAAAAUUUUACCAAAUCAAUAAUGAUAUAUUUUGAGUGAAUUAACUUAGCAUUUAAAUGUAAAAGCUAAAACUACUAGAAGAAGACAAAGAUAAAACUUUCAUGACAUUGAGGUGGGUAAAAAUUCCUUAGAUAGGCCAGGUGCCGUGGCUCGUGCCUGUAAUCCCAGCACUCUGGGAGGCUGAGGGGGUGGAUAACUUGAGGCCAGGAGUUCGAGACCAGCCUGGCCAACAUGGCAAAACCCCAUAUCUUCUUAAAAAAGAAAAAAACACAGAAAUUAGCCAGGCAUAGUGGCACAUGUCUGUAAUCCCAGCUACUCAGGUGGCUAAGGGACAUGAAUUGUUUGAAACCAGAAGGUGAAAGUUUGCAGUGAGCUGAGAUGUCACCACUGUGCUCCAGCCUGGGCUACAGAGUGAGACUCUGUCUUCAAAAAAAAAAAAAAGGAAAAAAAAAUUGAAAGAAAAAAAUUCUUAGAUAUACCACCAAAAGCAUAAACCUUAAAAGAAAAAGAAAGAGAAAAAAAGACACCGUUGUACUUCAAAAGACACCUUUAAGUAAAUUAAAACACAAAAUACAAACUGGGAGAAUGUAUUGUAUUUGUAAGUGAUUUGUGGUGAACUGACCCUAUGUGACACCCAAUAUCUUCCUCCGGGUGCCCAUGUCUUUCUUCAAUCCCUUCCCAUUCAAUGUAGGUAGGGCUUUGACUUGCUUGUAACCCAGAAUAUGGCAAAACGAUGAACUAUCACUCCAAUCAUUAGUUAUGUUAUGUAAGACUUUGUCUUAGCAGAAUGCAGUAAGAGAUUCUCCUUGCUAGCUUGAUAAACUAAGCAGCCAUGAUGAGGAAGCCCAAGUGUCAAGCAACUAUGGACAGCCUCUAGGAAUCAUGGGUAGCCUUUAGGAACAGUGGAUACCAUUUAGGACCUUAGGAAAGCCUCCAGACAAUGGCCAGCAAAAAGCUGGAACCCUCAGUCAUAUAUCAAAAAAAAAAAAGAAGAAGAAGAAGAAGAAUUCCAACAACCUGAAUAAGCUUGGAAGUAGAUCUUUCCCUGAUUGAGCCUACAGAGGAAAGUGCUGCCCUGUCCAAAUGUUGAUGACAGCCUAGUGAGAUUGAGUGGAGGACCCUGUUAAGUCAUGCCCAAACUUCUGGCUCAUAGAAAUUGUGAGAUAAUAGAUGCAUGUGUUGUUUAAAGCCACUAAAUUUGUGGUAAUUGGUUAUGCAGUAAUAUAAAUCAAAUACACUUUAUGUCUUACAAAAUAUAUAAAAAUAGAUGCAAAUGAUAUAAAUAAACUUUAAAUUCAAUAUUAAGAGUCAAAUGUUUCAAUUAAAAUGAUAAAAUGAUUUAAUAAGCAUGUAUUAAAAAAUAUAAAUGGUUAAUAAACACAGAAAGGGUGCUCAGCAUCGUUACUCUUUUGAGAAACCCAAAUUAAAAGCAUAACGAGAUAACACUAUCCACCCACUAGGAGGGCUAUAAUCAGAAGGAUAGAUAAUGCCAAGUGCUGGCCAGAAUGUGGAGAAACGAAAACUUGCACAUAAUGCUGGUGGGAAUGUAAGUUGAUAUAACCACGUUGGAAAAAGAUUUUCCUCAUUUUUUUAAUAGUCAAGCAAAAACUCAUCAUAUGAGCCAGCAAUUUCAUUCUUAUACAUAUUACCUAAGGAAAAAAGAAUAUGUAUGUCCACAUAAAGAUUGUAUAUGAAUGUUCAUAACCACAUUGUUUGUAAUAGCUGGAACUAAUUCAACAUCAGCUGGAAAGUAGAUAAGCACAAUGUGGUAUAUCUAUACGAUAGAAUACUAUUCAGCAAUACAAAGAAGAAAAUACUGAUUCAUGUUACAUCUUGGACAUACAUCAAAAACAUCAUGCUGUGUGAAAGAAACGAGGGGAAAAGUCUCCAUAUUAUAAACUUGUAUUUACAUAAAAUUAGAAAGCAAAUUUACAUAGGCAGAAAGAAAUCAGUGAUUUCCUGGGUCUGGCUGGAGUUAGAGGCAGAAAUAGACUGCAGACUGAGUGACUGGCAGAACAUUUUAGGGAUGAUGGAAAUGUUCUAAAUGUUUUAAUGUUCUGGAUAACGCUGAUGGUUGCACAACUUUAAAAACUGACUGAAAAUCAUUAAAUUGUAUACUCACCUGGGUGGAAUUUUUAUACAUAAAUUAUAUCUCAAUACAGCUGAUAAAAUAAAACAGAAGGGGAAUAUGGGGUAAACACAUAUUGUUGUUCUGCCUGUUAACAAUGGUCCUUUCCGAUAGCUAGCUUCUCCUUCCUCUACUGAUUAAUUUGGAGCUAGAAACACACAACUCAAGCUAGUUCAAAUAAAAUAUAGUUCUCUGGAAUCUGAAACUUGAAAUAAAAGACACAAAAAUUGAGCUAUAUUUGAACUCAAACAUAGUUCUCCUAUUCCAUCUCUUUCUGCUACAGAGAUCCUGAGAGGCAUUUGGUUUCUGCCUUCUCUAGUGAUUCAUGUUGUCAUGUCUGUGAGUGGAUUUUCUUCCAACAAAUUCAUUUUUCCCUAUGUUGGAGUAGUUUUCUAUUAUUUACAAUCAAAUCAAACACAACUAAUGUAGAAUUAAAUUUAAAAUCUACAGAUGGUAUACUUUAACAAGAGGACAUAUAAAUUGCAAGUCACUUAUUUUGUCUUUAUAAUAGUGUCUGUACCUUUAGUAACUCAUCUUCAAAUCUGUAAACAAGAAGGAAAUUGACAAACAGGGGGAUUUGCAAAGUCUUAAAGUUAUAAAAAAAUGGGUAUUCUUUGAGAGAUUAGUAAUAGACCCAUUAGAGGAUUAAGGAAGUAAUAAUUAUUGUCCAAAUAUCUACUAAAAUGAUUGAUAGAGAAUUUUUAUAUGAUAUCUUAUUUAAUCAUACACAAGAUAAGUUAUGUUUUUAUAUUUUAUAAUUUGAGGAAACUGACAAAAUAAGAAUAUGUACUUAUAUAGUAAUAGAAAAUAUUUAUGGAUCAACUGCUAGGUAUCAAGAUUUGUUCUAAGAGCUGUAUGUAAUUUAUUCUUCACAAGAACCCUAUGAAAUAAGAACAGUUAUCAUUACCACCCACUUUGAGAAGAAAAGAAGAGGCUCACAGAUGUGAAUCAGUUUGUCAAUGAAAUCUAGUAAGUGGCAAAACUGUAUUGGAAUGAAAUCAGUCUGGUUGGAGUCCUUAAUUGUGUAACCCCUGAACUAUAAAUCCUCUUCCAUUGCUUCAUGUAUGAUAUCUGUAAAGUGGCAGAGCUACAGUUGGAAUAUAUUUAUUUACUUCUAAAGUCUGUGGUAUUUACUUAUCAACAUACUCUUCAACAUCUAAAGUAACAUGUCUGGUGGCGGGCAGGAAGUAGAAAGAAGAGGUGCAGUGGGGAAGCUACAUAUAGGAAUCAUUUUUUUCUUGUGCAUUUUAGGGAGGACUGAGGUAACUGAAUGAAAUUGGAGGGUGGUACAGAGUGUGACUUCAUGAUACUAGAGAUGCAAUUUGAAAACUGUUAGAUUGCAGAGAGAAAAGGAUUUUCUCCCACACCAUGUUCUAAGUUUCUCUAAAACAACCCUUUUAUUUUAGCUCUCCAGGGUCAUGAUGGUAAUACACAAGAGUAAGGCUAGUGUUUAGAUGCUUUGGCUCUGCAUCACCCUGGAUGACUCCAAAUUAUAUCCCUUCUCUGCUCCAAAUUUUCUCUGCAAUUUAAGCUUCUUCUCUCUGCCAGGGUUGUCUCACAAUUUAAGGUGUGGUCCUCAAUAUUUCUCUGUUCCAUUUCACUAGUCUUUAGAACAUUAUAACAUAGUGAUGCAUAAUUUAUUUUCAUGCAAGUAUUAUCUCUAAUGACCCCACAUAAAGUAAUUUUGUAAUGUAAGAAUGGCCUUUUUUCCAUUACACAAAAGCAAUUUUCUCUGACAUA
rnacentral:lncRNA from 10 species